AGCUGCUAUUACUUACGGACUCUAAAUUUUGAUGUACUCACUCACUCACUGUGGACUGUGGAUUCCUAAUGGACAAGCAGAUUUUGUGUAUGUGAGUGCACAGUUCCUCUUGGAUUUGGUCUCUCUCAGCCUGGUAGCACUGCUGUGUGUUGAGAGCGGUUGGUAAACAAUCUCCCCAGUGAGCUCAGGCCGUAGUUGACUGUGGACUACUGGAUGCACUGGUGAUUUGCUUGGAAAACUUUGACCCUGGAGUCAAGGAGGCUGCAGCCUGGAGACUUGGAUGUAUUUCACGACAUAGUGCAGAGGAUUCCAGCAAAGAGACAGCAAAGAGUCACACCACAGGAGUGAGUGAAGACAUGGACAUAACUGUAGAAAAUGUGUUUUUUACUCCUGUUGGGCUGGAAGAAGAAGAAGAGGCACCUUCUCUGAAGAAUUGGGAUCUCAGUGAAAUCAUCAAGGUGGGACCAGAGCAUCUUGGGAAAAGGCUGUGCAGACACAUCCAAAUAAUAAGAAAUAUACAGGGAACAGAGUCCCACCAUUUUAUAGAAGUUGCUUGUGAACAA